rnacentral:rRNA from 1 species
GUCCCGGCCGUAAACGAUGUGCACUGGGGAGGGGAGGCGCCUAAGCCGUCCCUCCCCCAGCGAAAGCGUUAAGUGCACCGCCUGGGGAGUAUGCUCGCAAUGGUAAAACUCAAAGGAAUUGACGGGGGCUCACACAAGCGGUGGAGCAUGUGGUUUAAUUCGAGGCAACGCGAAGAACCUUACCAAGGUUAGACAUCCGUCCCAAUCCCUUCGAAAGUUGGGAGUGUUCAAUCAGGACGGUGCAGGUGUUGCAUGGCUGUCGU